rnacentral:tRNA from 1 species
GGGAUUGUGGCUCAGUGGUAGAGCCCUUGCCUAGCACACAUGAGGCACUGGGUUCCAUUCCCAGCACCA